GACGAACGCUGGCGGCGUGCUUAACACAUGCAAGUCGAACGGAAAGGCCCUGCUUUUGUGGGGUGCUCGAGUGGCGAACGGGUGAGUAACACGUGAGUAACCUGCCCUUGACUUUGGGAUAACUUCAGGAAACUGGGGCUAAUACCGGAUAGGAGCUCCUGCUGCAUGGUGGGGGUUGGAAAGUUUCGGCGGUUGGGGAUGGACUCGCGGCUUAUCAGCUUGUUGGUGGGGUAGUGGCUUACCAAGGCUUUGACGGGUAGCCGGCCUGAGAGGGUGACCGGCCACAUUGGGACUGAGAUACGGCCCAGCCUCCUACGGGAGGCAGCGGUGGAGAAUAGUACACAAUGGGCGGGAGCCUGAUGCAGCAACGCCGCGUGCGGGAAGACGGCCAUCGGGUUGUAAACCGCUUUCGCCUGUGACGAAGCGUGAGUGACGGUAAUGGGUAAAGAAGCACCGGCUAACUACGUG
rnacentral:rRNA from 1 species